UACGGAGGGUGCAAGCAUUAAUCGGAUUUAUUGGGCGUAAAGGGCGCGUAGGCGGGCCUGUAAGUCAGAUGUGAAAUCCCGAAGCUCAACUUCGGAAUAGCAUUUGAAACUGCAAGUCUAGAGGGUAGGCGGAGAAAGUAGAAUUCCACAAGUAGCGGUGAAAUGCGUAGAUAUGUGGAAGAAUACCAGUGGCGAAGGCGACUUUCUAGCUUAUACCUGACGCUGAGGCGCGAAAGCAAGGGGAUCAAACAGG
rnacentral:rRNA from 1 species